rnacentral:lncRNA from 1 species
CAUCUGAAGACUCGGGGCUCAGGAUGGGGAACCAUGCAGGGAAGCGGGACUUUGGUGCCGAGAAGGGCAAUAAGGACAGUGAAACUAACAGAGAAUAUGAAAAGAAGAGAAACACUCGUGACCUUUCCCGGGAGAUCUCGGAAGACAGUGAUGUGUUUGGAGCGGCAGAUGUGGUCCCGAACAAUGGGGCCCCCUCGCAGGGCGCGGCGGUGACAGACUCCAAGCGCACAGCGGACCCGAAGAAUGCCUGGCCCGAGGCCAGCCCAGCUGACCCGGGCGGCCGCCCCCACCUGGUCCGCCUCUUUUCCCGAGAUGCCCCGGGCCGGGAGGACAACACCUUCAAAGACCGGCCCUCGGAAUCAGACGAGCUCCAGACCAUCCAGGAGGACAGCGCGGCCGCUCCCGGGGCGGUGGACGCGAUGGCGGCCCAGAAGAGACCCUCCCAGAGAUCCAAGUACCUGGCCUCGGCGAGCACCAUGGACCACGCCAGGCACGGCUUCCUCCCCAGACACAGAGACACGGGCAUCCUCGACUCCCUCGGCCGCUUCUUUGGCUCGGACAGGGGUGCGCCGAAGCGGGGCUCCGGCAAGGAUGGACACCACGCGGCCAGAACCACCCACUAUGGCUCCCUGCCCCAGAAGGCGCAGCACGGCCGGCCCCAAGACGAAAACCCCGUAGUGCACUUCUUCAAGAACAUCGUGACACCUCGCACACCUCCUCCAUCGCAAGGAAAGGGAGGACGAGACAGCCGUUCCGGGUCCCCGAUGGCAAGACGCUGA